AGUCAGACCCAGUCAGGACACAGCAUGGACAUGAGGGUUCCUGCUCAGCUCCUGGGGCUCCUGCUGCUCUGGCUCCCAGGUUCCAGAUGUGACAUCCAGAUGACCCAGUCUCCAUCUUCCUUGUCUGCAUCUGUAGGAGACAGAGUCACCAUCACUUGUCGGGCGAGUCAAGGCAUUAGCAAUUAUUUAAACUGGUAUCAGCAGAAACCAGGGAAAGCUCCUAAACUCCUGAUCUAUGAUGCAUCCAGUUUGCAAAGUGGGGUCCCAUCAAGGUUCAGCGGCAGUGGAUCUGGGACAGAAUUCACUCUCACCAUCAGCAGCCUGCAGCCUGAAGAUUUUGCAACUUAUUACUGUCAACAGUAUAAGAGUUACCCUCCCACAGUGUUACACACCCGAACAUAA